GGGUUUUUCACCACAAGAGCAAAUUAUACAACUUUAUUCUUGAAAAUGUUAGAGACUGAGACUUGGAGUCAAAGUCAACAGACACGCUUGCAUGGACAUGAAGGAUGUAAAGAACUAGAGUAUUAUAACUGAAAGCAUUUUGUCUGGAUUUGUGUAUGGAAACAGAAGGAUUUAGUAUUGGUAUCCUGAAUUUUUGUCAACUUCUAGCCAAGAUCCUGUACUUAAGCUGAAUGUGGAGGACAGAUGUACACACAGUACUAGUAUAGAGGGUAUUAUCUCGGUACCUUAAAACUCCAAACGACAGGGAGAAGAAGAAAACUGCAUAUUUCCGAUGUAUCUUCACAGCAACAUGACCCAAAGCACUACCAUUAAAGGAUUUGAUUUGACAUUAAGGAAGUAAAAAAAUGAAGGCAUUAGUCAUAAAGAAAAUUAAAGAACUUUAUGUCUGAAUAUUAUAUCAACAAUACCAUAGAUCUAAAGAUGGAUUAUUUUGCCUUAUAAUUUAUAUUAAUGCAUGUACAUGUAAUUUUAUUCUUUUUAUAUAUACAAUCAUGUAGUGUUACCAUUUUUCACAAAGCUUAAAAAGUUAUGUAGGGCCACACCAAUUUAAUUUCUUGUUCGUCGGACAUUUGAUUUAAAAAAAGUACAAGCAGUUAAAUGAUAAUAUUAUUACUCUUUGCUGGGCAAUUUUUUAGGCGGAGCGUGAAAAUUUGAGCGGACAAUUAUAUUUUUUCUGAUUUACAGAGUAAGCAGAUAUAAAAUACAAUAAAUAGAGCGGAAAUGGAACAGAAAAUAGCACAGAAUUCCUAUGGUGCGAGAAAUUGAAAUUAAUAUUAUUUGUAUGGUUUUGUUUAAAUAAGCGCGUGGGUCCGACGAACAAAAAUUUUCAUUAGUGUGGCCUAGAUCAUUUAGAUUCAAUUCAUUUUUUUCUUCAAAUUACCACAUGCCAGAAUUCAUAAGAAGGAAAUUUAUAUAUGGCUGGUGGUUGUGGCCAUUUUAGACUAUAUUGAUCUCCUUUAGAAGGAGAGCUCCUUAUAAAAUUAUACAAAAAAUGACCAAAUUUUAAAACUAAAAUGUACAGAAUUUUUCUUUGCCAAAUGAUAGUUCAUAGAACCACAAUUCUUCAAUCAUGUCUACUUGGAGAUCAGUGGAUGGAUAUUCAUAUACAAUACACAGCUGAAGCAGGUUUUGUUAGGUUAUUUUAUUUUCAAAAGGAAUGCAUUAUUUUCUUCAGUCCAUUAAUGUUAAGCUCUUUAAUAGAAACAAUUGUAGAAGAUUUAUCAUAUUUUGUUUAGAAUUUUGAAGAAUUUGUUAAUCACUCAGUGAAAAUUAUCCCUUGUCAUAAUACAAAUUUUUAAAAUGUAUGUACAAAUACUUUUAUGUUGAAAUGACCAUGCAAGGAAGAAAAUAAAACAAGUUUAAGUGUA